rnacentral:lncRNA from 10 species
AUAGAGUGAGACUCCCUCUCAAAAAAAAGAAAAAAAGAAAAAAGAAGAGAAAGAAAACAAGGGAAGAUACCCUUCACUUCCAUAUCCUUUCAGAAUUUCUUUCUCUGUCCUUUUCAAAAGUGUAUACAGCUUUCAAGUGGUUAAAUGAGUCUCCUGCCAGUUUCCCCCAACUCAAGUCAUGUUUCCCCAAGGACCUGAGCCACCCACGUGAACUGUAAUCAUCAAGGAAGAUAACUGUUUUCCGGAGGGGAUGAUCCCAACUUCAGCUGUCACCUGAUUCUAAAUGGCAAAACCCACUUACACAGUGCAUGGGCUGUAUCCACUUAGCUGUAUCAAAGCGGGAGAUUUGUCUCUGCAGUUCUUUCAGUGGGCUGCCUGUGAUGCUCAACGCGUUUUGGUUUAAUGCUUAUUCAAUCAUAAAAUUGUUUUCUUUUGCUUUUACUUUUGUGGCGAGGCUUUCUGGGUUGGGGGAUUUUGUUUUUAAAUUAUAUUUCCCCAACAGAUGACUGCAGUUUUGUUAAGCAAAUAGCAAAGAGGUCUUUGGAUGUUAAUCAUUGCCUCUUGAUGUACCUAUGUAAAUAAGAGACCUCAGAGAACCCAGCUUGCAUGACAUAGAGACCCUGGUGAAUAAACUACAAGAAAUGGUGACCGCAACGGGACUGUUGGGAACGUUUUCCCUAACACAGGACGCUGGUUUAAAGGAAUUACAUC